rnacentral:tRNA from 14 species
ACUUGCUUAGCUCAAUCGGGAGAGCAUCGUCUUUACACGGCGAGGGUAGCUGGUUCGAAACCAGCAGCAAGUACCA